GACGAACGCUGGCGGCGCGCCUAACACAUGCAAGUCGAACGGAGCUGAGAGAAGCUUGCUUUUCUUAGCUUAGUGGCGAACGGGUGAGUAUCGCGUGAGUAACCUGCCCUGGAGUGGGGGACAACAGUUGGAAACGACUGCUAAUACCGCAUAAGCCCACGAUCCGGCAUCGGAUUGAGGGAAAAGGAUUUAUUCGCUUCAGGAUGGACUCGCGUCCAAUUAGCUAGUUGGUGAGGUAACGGCCCACCAAGGCGACGAUUGGUAGCCGGACUGAGAGGUUGAACGGCCACAUUGGGACUGAGACACGGCCCAGACUCCUACGGGAGGCAGCAGUGGGGGAUAUUGCACAAUGGGGGAAACCCUGAUGCAGCGACGCCGCGUGGAGGAAGAAGGUUUUCGGAUUGUAAACUCCUGUCGUUAGGGACGAUAAUGACGGUACCUAACAAGAAAGCACCGGCUAACUACGUG
rnacentral:rRNA from 1 species